CCUACGGGACGCAGCAGUGGGGAAUAUUGCACAAUGGGCGCAAGCCUGAUGCAGCCAUGCCGCGUGUAUGAAGAAGGCCUUCGGGUUGUAAAGUACUUUUAGCGGGGAGGAAGGCGGUGAGGUUAAUAACCUCACCGAUUGACGUUACCCGCAGAAGAAGCACCGGCUAACUCCGUGCCAGCAGCCGCGGUGAUACGGAGGGUGCAAGCGUUAAUCGGAAUUACUGAGCGUAAAGCGCACGCAGGCGGUCUGUCGAGUCGGAUGUGAAAUCCCCGGGCUCAACCUGGGAACUGCAUUCGAAACUGGCAGGCUAGAGUCUUGUAGAGGGGGGUAGAAUUCCAGGUGUAGCGGUGAAAUGCGUAGAGAUCUGGAGGAAUACCGGUGGCGAAGGCGGCCCCCUGGACAAAGACUGACGCUCAGGUGCGAAAGCGUGGGGAGCAAACAGGAUUAGAUACCCGCGUAGUC
rnacentral:rRNA from 1 species